GAGUCCAUGUGAUGAGUCCAUGUGAACAGUAAGAGGUGAUGAGUCCAUGUGAACAGUAAGAGGUGAUGAGUCCAUGUGAACAGUAAGAGGUGAUGAGUCCAUGUGAACAGUAAGAGGUGAUGAGUCCAUGUGAUGAGUCCAUGUGAACAGUAAGAGGUGAUGAGUCCAUGUGAACAGUAAGAGGUGAUGAGUCCAUGUGAACAGUAAGAGGUGAUGAGUCCAUGUGAACAGUAAGAGGUGAUGAGUCCAUGUGAACAGUAAGAGGUGAUGAGUCCAUGUGAACAGUAAGAGGUGAUGAGUCCAUGUGAUGAGUCCAUGUGAACAGUAAGAGGUGAUGAGUCCAUGUGAACAGUAAGAGGUGAUGAGUCCAUGUGAUGAGUCCAUGUGAACAGUGUAAGAGGUGAUGAGUCCAUGUGAACAGUAAGAGGUGAUGAGUCCAUGUGAUGAGUCCAUGUGAACAGUAAGAGGUGAUGAGUCCAUGUGAUGAGUCCAUGUGAACAGUGAGAGGUGAUGAGUCCAUGUGAACAGUAAGAGGUGAUGAGUCCAUGUGAACAGUAAGAGGUGAUGAGUCCAUGUGAACAGUAAGAGGUGAUGAGUCCAUGUGAACAGUAUAAGAGGUGAUGAGUCCAUGUGAACAGUAAGAGGUGAUGAGUCCAUGUGAACAGUAAGAGGUGAUGAGUCCAUGUGAACAGUAAGAGGUGAUGAGUCCAUGUGAACAGUAAGAGGUGAUGAGUCCAUGUGAACAGUAAGAGGUGAUGAGUCCAUGUGAACAGUAAGAGGUGAUGAGUCCAUGUGAACAGCAAUCUACUACCAGCCUCUUAAAUUGCAGCCCAAAUGAAUGCUUCAGAAUUCAAGUAAUAGACACAUCUCAGCAUCAUCUGUUCAGAGGAGACUGCGUGAAUCAGGCCUUCAUGGUCGAAUUGCUGCAAAGAAACACCAAAAAGAGACUUUCUUGGGCCAUGGAGCAAUGGACAUUAGACCAGUGGAAAUCUGUCCUUUGCUGCUGAUGUCCAAAUUUGAAAUGUGUGGUUCCGACCACUCUCUUUGUGAGGCGUAGAGUAGGUGAACGGAUGAUCUCCACAUGUGUGGUUCCCACCGUGAAGCAUGGAGGAGGAGGUGUGGGCUAAGACUGUUGUAAAAGCAUUCCAGGUGACGCUGUAGAAAAUAGUACAAAUAAAGAAAAACCCUUGAAUGAGUAGGUGUUCUAAAAACUUUGGACUGGUUAUGUAAAAUACACACACACACACACACAUAUACACAUGCAUAUAUUAUAUAUACACGGUUGACGUUUACAUACAUUUUGGUCGGAGUCAUUUAAACUAGUUUUUCAACCACUCCACAAAUGUCUUGUUAACAAACUAUAGUCAUGGCAAGUUGGUUGUGGUUGUGCAUGACACAAGUCAUUUUUCACAGAGAGAUUAUUUCACUUAUAAUUCACUGUAUCACAAUUCCAGUGCGUCAGAAGUUUACAUACACUAAGUUGACUGUGCCUUUAAACAGCUUGGAAAAUUCCAGAAAAUUAUGUCAUGGCUUUAGAGGCUUCUGAUAGGCUAAUUGACAUCAUUUGCUUGACAUCAUGGGAAAAUCUAAAGAAAU